UAUAGUCGGAACUUUCAGAUCCGACCCCUCAAACGCACGUGACAGGCUCGGUCAGUGACCUCAAGCCCCUCAACAUAUACGGAAUUGAUCCAUCGGGAUUCAUGCUGAUAACGUGUUAGAAGUAAAACUGACUGAGAGAAUCAGCUGUAUUUUUUAUUGAUGAGAUGAAUUAUUUAUACAUGCCCAAGGCCCCCCCCACAAAUGGAUGCCUUUACAAAGAGUCGGAAGCGAAACAACGCGAUCGGUCGAUUCAAUGAUAGUUUAGGAAAACCAUGGAUUACCCUCUAAUUAUUCUAAUUAAUUAAUUCUUAACAGUCCCAACACUAAUUAACAUGAGGAGGAGAGAUGUACUUGCGCUUUGGAUUUGAAUAAAGCAAAGAUGGAGGGAGCCUGAUGCCCGCGUCAACCGCGUACAAGACGGGCAUCUAUCGAAUGGGAGUGCAUAGUUAGAGCAUGAGGAAUGACUGCUACGCGUUGCAACUGUAGUAUAUAUAUCACUGGAAAUCUGGUUAACACUUUCCGUGUCCAAGUGGAGCUCCAAGUCAUCUGCAGGCUGUUCCGUUUGUGGUAAAGUUAGGUUGAUCUCUUGAACCAGCCCUUCAAUAGCAGCAGCGACUGAUCUUAUUCUCUUGACCUUGUUCUUCAUGAAGAACCUCCCUCCCUAGAGGGAUGUCUUAUUGCAGCGGGUCAGUAGGUUGAUCAAUGUCCAGUCCUCGGCAUGAUCUCAUGGCAAGGAAUUCGGCGAAUAUUCUUGAAGUUCCUUCAAUUUCUAGUUAAGUUCAUGACUGUAUAGUUGUGCGAGCCCAUCCGCCGAUUCAUGCCAUAGUCACGUCAAGGCAUUAGAGUAGGAGGGAGAUGUACGACGAAUCCAGAAGGAACAACGUGCAUGCCAUAAUUCUAGUUUUUCAUUGGUAAUUCCUGAUGCCUUCUAUGCCUAUAUUUAUCUAGUUAGAUCUCUAAUAUAUAUAUGAGUUACAACAAACAAUGCAUAGAACAGUAAAAGAUACUUCGAAGACAUCCUUUGUUUGGGGGAAGCCUUGCUCUUUUAUAAGAGACAUGGGUGUCCCGCUCCCCCAAUCAAUAAAUAGCUUGGACCCCGGGUAGGUCCAAGGUCACGCGAGCUUUAAGCAAGUGAUGCAUUCACUUACCUUUUAUUUUUGACAACAUAUAAUUUCACUGACCUUCUGACCUCUAUAAUGUGAUGAUGCACCUACAACACACAAUUUCGUAAAAAAGAGUUUAUGAAAACAAAUGCCAACCGCUAAUUCCAGUCCUCGGGGAGAAAAAGAAAGUGAAGUAAAGCUAAAGUCACAUGAUAAAUUACAAUGUGGCCAUUACAUCAAUGCUCACAACAAGAAAUCUUAAUUUGGAUGUCACGUGCAAGAUUUAUUUUGCUUUUAGGUAGUUCACGCCUUCCAGAUUGCAGCUAGUAUUUAAUUUAGAGGAAACAUUGUUUAUUCAAAGGACCUGUUGGAAACAUAAUUAUUUAUCGGGCCAAGGCUACCAUCUAGCACGGGAACAACCAUAUUGUUGUACUUAGAGAUGAAUUUGGCAUGAUUGAACAACACGAUCACCAAACCAAAGCCGUUAUCUUAUUAAGAGAUUCCAAGGACAUAAUGGUAAUUUCUAUGCCUACUAAUAAUCCACAUCAUUUUUUUAAAAGGAGGAAAGCCUCCAGCCUCUGCAUCAAAAUGGUGCAUGCAACCAUUUUAUCAAAUAAAGUAUGACAUCAAAGUCGGAGAUUCAAGUCUGGCUCACAAUCGGAGCGCAAAUAAAUAGAUAUAAAAAUGCCAUACUUGGCGAUAAAUAACACGCUACGAUGACUAGGCACCUAGCUUAUUAUUAGCUCGUCAUUGAAACGAAUCAAAGAUAACUCAUGCUAUCAUCUUCCAAUGACUGCACCCAAUAAUCAAAAGCUCCUUGGAUUUGCAUAUUCCAUUACUCUUUAAUGAAAGACAACUUGAGGAAAGGGACAAGACCUAAUUUCGCUACAAUGAGCUAGCCAUUGCCACAUGUAACUUCACAAACAAUGGAAGGCUCGGGGAAGAAGGUUUUUGUUAGUUGGGAAGAGAGGGAUUGCAUGCAUCGAUAAUUACAUUGAUCAUGUACUAGGCACAUACACAGGUACAAGGGGCACUAGUGCAGAAUCAGGCAAUAGUCUCAGUUCGUAAGGACCUUUAGUGUCGGUUCUGCAACCGGCACUAAUGGGUGGGGACUAAAGCCCCCCCCUUUAGUGCCGCUUCGUCACGAACCGGGACCAAAUGACCACCACGUGGCACGAGCCCGCGCCGGGGGGCUGGGGGUUACACCAACCGGGACUAAAAGGUUUAGGGGUUUUGGGUUUAUGGUUUAUUUUUCCUUUCAAUUUUGUAUUUUUCAUUUAAUUCUUUUUCAUUUUAAUCAUAUUUUACUCUACUACAUAUUGUACAUGUUAUGCAUAUAUAAAAAUAGAAUUUCUCGUAGAACCGAUCAUAUAUCACUAGUAGAAAAGAGGGCUUUGGUCCACUUGAUGAAAUGCCAUUAGUCCCGGUUCACUCACGAACCGGGACCCAUGUGAGCAUAGGUCCCGGUUCGUGAGGCCAGGGCGUUGGCCGGGCCUCGUAGGCCAUUUGUUCCGGUUUGUUUGUCACCUUCGGUCCCGAUUCCAAACACGAACCGGGACCAACGUACCUCGCCCCUGGCCCACAACCAGUAGUCCCGGUUUGUGGUCGGAACUGGGACCUUAGGUUGUUCUUUGGUCUCGGUUCCAACCACAAACCGGGACCAACGGUUGGCCUACAUAUACCCCCGUGAGCAUAGCAGUGCACUGUUCUGUUUUUUCGGCCAACCGUGGGAGAGCUUUGUGGUGCUCUAGCUCACCUCCUAUGCACAUGAGGUGUUCGAUGAAAUGCCCGAACCACACUUAAGCUUUCUCCUUUAGAAGCUCCUUGUCCAAGCUCCAUUUUCAUCAAGAUUUGUGUAGUUUUUAAUACACUUUGUUAUAUAACGCCCGCAGAUGAACCGUCAAUGGAUGUACGGUGACCAUCGCAUCUUCGAGUAUAUUAAUGGCCUGCAUAAUUUUCUCUAAGCGGCUAAGGAAAACAAGCGGAAUGGUUUUAUGCAUUGUCCAUGUACUGUCUGUGGGAAUACGAAGGAAUUCUCCGACUAUAAAACCCUUCACUUCCACCUGCUUCAGAAGGGUUUUAUGCCACACUAUAAUGUUUGGACCAAGCACGGAGAAAGAGGGGUUAUGAUGGAAGACAACGUAGAAGAAGAGGAUGAAGACAACUACCCGCCCCCUGUAUAUGGUGAUGCUGCAAUGGGGGAAGCUGAAGAUCAAGAGGAACCAGACGAUGUGCCCGAUGAUGAUCUUCGUCAGGUCAUUGUUGAUGCACAUAGAGAAUGCAAAAGUGAAAGGGAGAAGUUGAAGUUCGAUCUCAUGUUAUAGGAUCACAAAAAAGGGUUGUAUCCAAAUUGCGAAGAUGACAACACAAAGCUCGGUACCACACUGGAAUUGCUGCAACGGAAGGCAGACAAUGGUGUAUCUGACAAGGCAUUUAGUUCACUACUGAAAUUAAUGAAGAAGAAGCUUACAAAGGAUAACGAAUUGCCCGACAGUACGUACGAAGCGAAGAAGGUUCUAUGCCCUCUAGGAUUGGAGGUGCAGAAGAUACAUGCAUGCCCUAGUGACUGCAUCCUCUACCGCGGUGCGUACGAGGAUUUGAACGCAUGCCCGGUAUGCGGCGCAUUGCGGUAUAAGAUCAGAAAAGAUGACCCUGGUGAUGUUGAGGGCUAGCGCACCGGGAAAAUGGUUCCUGCCAAGGUGAUGUGGUAUGAUCCUAUAAUACCACGGUUGAAACAUCUGUUCAGAAACAAAAAGCAUGCCGAGUUGAUGCAAUGGCACAUAAAAGACCGUAAGAAAGACGGGAAGUUGAGAGCACCCGCUGACGGGUCAUAGUGGAGAAAGAUCGAGAGAAACUGGAGCGACUUUACACGUGACCCAAGGAACGUACGGUUUGGUUUAAGUGCAGAUGGCGUUAAUACUUUUGGGGAGCAGAGCAACAAGCAUAGCACAUGGCCUGUGACUCUAUGUAUGUAUAACCUUCCACCUUGGUUGUGCAUGAAGCGGAAGUUCAUUAUGAUGCCAGUGCUCAUCCGAGGCCCUAGGCAACCAGGCAAUGACAUUGAUGUGUACCUAAGGCCAUUAGUUGAUGAACUUUUACAGCUAUGGAAUGGAAAUGGUGUACGUGUGUGGGAUGAGAACGAACAGGAGGAAUUUGACUUACAUGCGUUGCUAUUUGUAACCAUCAACAAUUGGCCUGCUCUCAGUAACCUUUCAGGACAAAAAAACAAGGGAUACAACGCAUGCACACACUGUUUAGAUGACACCAACAGUAUAUAUUUGGACAAAUGCAGGAAGAAUGUGUACAUGGGGCAUCGUCGAUUUCUUCCGACCAACCAUCAAUGUCAAAAGAAAGGAAAGCAUUUCAAAGGUGAGGCAGAUCACCGGAAGAAGCCCGCCCUUCGUACUGGUGAUCACAUACUUGAUAUGGUCAAUGAUUUACAAGUAAUCUUUGGAAAGGGUCCUGGCGGACUAUCUGUUCUAAAGGACGAUGCGGGACACGCACCCAUGUGGAAGAAGAAAUCUAUAUUUUGGGACCUACCCUAUUGGAAAGACCUAGAGGUCCGCUCUGAAAUCGACGUGAUGCACGUGACUAAGAAUCUUUGCAUGAACCUUCUAGGCUUCUUGGGAGUGUAUGGGAAGACAAAAUAUACACUAGAGGCACGGGAGGAACAUCAACGUGCGCAUGAAAAAGAUGGCAUGCAUCCAGAGCAGUAUGAAGGUCCUGCCAGCUACGCUCUUACCAAAGAAGAGAACGAAUUCUUCUUUGAAUGCUUGCUCAGUAUGAAUGUCCCGUCUGGCUUCUCGUUGAAUAUAAAGGGAAUAAUAAAUAUGGCAGAGAAAAAGUUCCAGAACCUAAAGUCUCAUGACUGCAACGUGAUUAUUACAUAACUGUUUCCGGUUGCAUUGAGGGGGCUUCUACCGAAAAACGUUCGUUUAGCCAUUGUGAAGCUAUGUGCAUUCCUCAAUGCAAUAUCUCAAAAGGUGAUCGAUCCAGCAAUCCUGCCAAGGUUAAGGAGUGAUUUGGUGCAAUGUCUUGUUAGUUUUGAGCUGGUGUUCCCAACAUCCUUCUUCAAUAUCAUGACGCACGUCCUAGUUCAUCUAGUCGACGAGAUUGUCGUUCUGGGCCGUGUAUUUCUACACAAUAUGUUCCCCUUUGAGAGGUUCAUGGGAGUCUUAAAGAAAUAUGUUCGUAACCGCGCUAAGCCAGAAGGAAGCAUCUCCAUGGGCCAUCAAACAGAGGAUGUCAUUCGAUUUUGUGUUGACUUCAUUCCUGACCUUAAGAAGAUUGGACUCCCUCAAUCGCAGUAUGAGGGGAGACUGACUAGAAAAGGCACACUAGGAGUGGAGUCAAUAAUGUGUACAGACGGGCAUUCUUGGUCUCAAGCAUACUACACAGUUCUAUAGAAUUCUACCUUGGUGACCCCGUAUGUCGAUGAACACAAGAAUAUUCUGAGCUCCAUACGCUCGGAGCAGUGUGACGACUGGAUUACAUUUGAACACAUCAGGACUUUCAGCAGUUGGUUGCAAAAAUGUCUCAUAUGUGACAACAUUGUUUCUGAUGAGUUGUACUCGUUGGCCAGGGGACCAUCUUCGACUGUAUUGACUUACCAAGGGUACGAGAUAAAUGGGAAUACAUUUUACACGAUCACUGCUACGGCAACAAAAGACCUUCCCUGACAAUGGCGCCAGGAAUCCUUUUGCUAUGGGCUACGCCUAUAGGGACUUCCUUGGCAAAUAUGCAAAGGAUUCCCCCUCGGCCUUGGAGCCUUGCGUUGGUGUUCCUUUGAAGAGGAAAGGGUGAUGUAGCACUGCGGCAGUAAGUAUUUCCCUCGGUUUGAGAACCAAGGUAUCGAUCGAGUAGGAGGAGAGCGUUAAGUCACAAGUACCUGCACAAACAGAAAGAGCUUGCACCCAAUGCUAUGAAGGGGUUGUCAAUCCCUUAUAGAUUGUUUGCAGAGUGAGAAUUGAAAGCAAAAAGGAAACAAAACAAAGUGAAAGUGAAAGUGGAGACGAUAGUUGUGAAUAGACCCGGGGGCCGUAGUGUUCACUAGUGGCUUCUCUCAUGAAAGCAAGUAGACGGUGGGUGAACGAAUUACUAUCGAGCAAUUGAUAUAACCGUGCAAAGUCAUGACGUUAUCUAUGGCAAUGAUCAUAUCUAUAUGCAUCACGUCCAAAACAAGUAGACCGAUACUUUCUGUAUCUACUACUUAUUACUCCACACGUCGACCGCUAUCCAGCAUGCAUCUAGUGUAUUGAGUGUUGGAAAUAUGCCCUAGAGGCAAUAAUAAAAUGGUUAUUAUCAUAUUUCCUUGUUCAUGAUAAUCGUCUAUUGUUCAUGCUAUAAUUGUAUUAAGAGGAAACAGUAAUACAUGUGUGAAUAAAUAGAUCACAAUGUGUCCCUAGCAAGCCUCUAGUUGGCUAGCUCGUUAGUCAAUAGAUGAUCAUGGUUUUCUGAUCAUGGGCAUUAGAUGUCAUUGAUAACGGGAUCACAUCAUUAGGAGAAUGAUGUGAUGGACAAGACUCAAUCCUAAGCAUAGCACUAGAUCGUAUUGUUCGUAUGCUAAAGCUUUUCUAAUGUCAAGUAUCUUUUCCUUCGACCGUGAGAUUGUGCAACUCCCGGAUACCGUAGGAGUGCUUUGGGUGUAUCAAACGUCACAACGUAACUGGGUAACUAGCUAUAAAGGUGCACUACGGGUGCCUCCGAAAAUGUCUGUUGGGUUGGUACGAAUCGAGAUCGGGAUUUGUCACUCCGUGUGACCGAGAGGUAUCUCUGGGCCCACUCGGUAGAACAUCAUCAGAGCUUGACAGUUUUUUACUGAAAAAUUAGAGCUAACACUAACAUAUAUAUGCAUGUUUUCAUAUGACCCAGGUUGGUUCCCAUGAAGCUCCGCCACUGCAUGAGUACAAACUAGCUUAGUUGGCGUCGACCAAUACUGGAUGAUGUAUUGCCGCAGUCUCGUCUUCAGUAAACUUUGUAUUGCCUUUGAUGUGAUGAUUACACGGGGCUAUACGUGAGUAUAUAUAGCAGGUAGGAUUGCCUAUUCGGUUUGAAGUUCUAAUCCCACUAUUACUAGAAAUGCUGAUCUAUGUCCGACUAGAACGCAACAUCAGGGGCAGAAUCAGCAUACUGUUACGAAUAGGGGUAAGUUGGCUUGAGUGGUGUACUUAAAGGUUUUUUAUACUUUGUAAGAAAAUAUUACAAAGACUAUUGUCACUACACCUAGGGCUAUAGCCCUAUUUGCCCUAUGUUUAUUUUCGCGAGUGCACAACACCCACGUCGUGGUUAGUCCUACAUAUUUCCGGACGGAAACUUUUAAAACUUAGAUGUAUAUACAUCUUAUAUGUAAAAAAAUAGUAAUUCAACAAAAUAUAAAAAAUAAAAAUAUUUUUGAAAUAAAGUUGACCCAACACUAAUUAACAUGAGGUGGAGAGAUUUACUUGCGCUAUGCCCCUGUUAGAAGUGAAUUGAUUGAGAGAAUCAACUGUAUUCUUUAUUGAUAAGAUGAACUAUUUAUACAUGCCCAAGGGGCCCCACGAAUGGCCCCACGACGGUUGAUUAAAUGACGGUUUAGGAAAAUCAGCCCAUGAAUGGAUGCCUUUACAAAGAGUCAGAAGUGAAACAACGCGACGGUUGAUUAAAUGACGGUUUAGAAAAAUCAUAGAUUACCCUACAAUUAUUCUAAUUAAUUAAUUCUUAACAGUCCCAUCACUAAUUAACAUGAGGAGGAGAGAUGUACUUGCACUUUGGAUUUGAAUAAAGCAAAGAUGGAGGGAGCCUGAUGCCGGCGUCAACCACGUACAGGUGGGGCAUCUAUCGAAUGGGAGUGGAUAGGUAGAGCAGGAGGAAUGACUGCCUCGUCAGUCUUUGGCUCAGCUACCUGUUGCAACUGAACUGUAAAGCUGGUUGACACCUUCAGUGUCCAAGUGCUCCAAGUCAGUUGCCGGCUGUUCCUUCUGUGCUAAAGUUCGGUUGAUCUCUUGAACAAGCCCCCUUCAAUAGCAGCAUCAACCGAACUGAUUCUCUUACAUUGUUCUUCAUGAAGAACCUCCCUCCCUGGAGGGAUGUCCUGUUGCAGCGGGUCAGUAGGUUGAUCAAUGUCCAGUCCUCGGCAUGAUCUCAU
rnacentral:lncRNA from 1 species